rnacentral:rRNA from 1 species
UACGGAGGGUGCAAACGUUGCUCGGAAUCACUGGGCGUAAAGCGCACGUAGGCGGUCCGAUAAGUCGGAUGUGAAAGCCCUGGGCUCAACCUAGGAAGUGCAUUCGAAACUGUCGGACUUGAGUACGGGAGAGGGUUGCGGAAUUCCCGGUGUAGAGGUGAAAUUCGUAGAUAUCGGGAGGAACACCAGUGGCGAAGGCGGCAGCCUGGACCGGUACUGACGCUGAGGCGCGAAAGCGUGGGGAGCAAACAGG